rnacentral:rRNA from 1 species
UACGUAGGCAGCAAGCGUUGUUCGGAGUUACUGGGCGUAAAGAGUGCGUAGGUGGUGCCCUAAGUCUGUUGUGAAAUCUCCCGGCUUAACUGGGAGGUGCGGUGGAACUGGGGUGCUUGAGUGUGGGAGAGGUAAGCGGAAUUCCUGGUGUAGCGGUGAAAUGCGUAGAGUAAUCAGGAGGAACACCGGUGGUGUAGACGGCUUACGUGGACCACGACUGACACUGAGGCACGAAAGCGUGGGUAGCAAACAGG